rnacentral:rRNA from 1 species
AUGGCGAAGAAGGAGGGACCUUGCGGCCAUUGCGGAGUCACAAGUACUCCUCUCUGGCGUAAUGGGCCACCAGACAAGCCAGUUCUCUGCAAUGCAUGUGGGUCGAGAUGGAGGAUAAGGGGUACAUUGGUGAACUACACACCGGCGCAUCGCCGCGAAGAUACUGGCGCUAGUGAAGCUAGACCUGACAAGCUGAAGCUCAAGGGACAGAAACAGCCCAAGAAACGACCAAACCGCAGCACAGUGAAGGAUGAACCAUGGUCUGAUCAGAACUUCUGGAAGAUGGGGAAUGCGGACACAAGCAAUCGAUCUGGUUCUGGAUCAGCGGUAUCAUAUUCAGAGAGUUGUGCCCCAUAUGGUUCUGUUGAUGCAAGGGAAAUGGCCGGUUCAGCGCAGUCACAUGCUUGGGAUUCACUGGUGCCAUCAAGAAAAAGGAGUUGUGUCACUCGUCCUAAGCCAUCACCGGUGGAAGAGCUUGUAGAAGAGCUCAACUCCAUAUUGCACGAAGAAAAGUUAUACUGCCUUUCAGCAGGAUCCACAGAGGAAGACCUGCUUUAUCAUAAUGAAACUCCCGUUGGCUCCUUUGAGAUCGGUUAUGGAAGUGUGCUUCUUAGGCAUCCGAACUCGAAAUCAGCAGAGGAAGAGUCAGAAGCAAACUCUGUUCCUGCAGAUAGCAAAUCAUACAUUACAAGUGAAUCCUAUUCAGGUUCUGCCUCAUUCAUUGCGCAUAGUGAAAUCAAGGGAGCGAGCAACUCAAAUGCUGCAUCCGAGAAGCUAAAGUGGUCACCAAUGCAGACACAUGACAGUGCUAGAAGGGAUGAGCUUCAUUAUUCGAACCAGCAUAUCCUGGAGAGCGCAGAUUCAGCUUUAGAUUCAGUAGCUUUAGAGGACAAUUACAGCAAGGAAGUUGGAGGCCUUACCAAGUCCAGCAUGAGGUCUCUCAAAAGACCUUAUGAAAGCCAGCCGCAAAGCUUCACAGAUGCUGAAGUGAGAGGAGGAACCAUGAGAACAGCUUCUUCGAGAUCCGGGGCUAUGGCUUCUUGUCAGUUGAGAAGAAGCACAUUUUUGCCGAAUUCUGGCAAUGCCACCGGAGCAGCAGCAGCAUCACUCAACCUGUUCAUGUUAGCCCCAGAUAAAUUAUCAUCUAUGCUGAACCCCUCGGACAAGGAUUCUGACCAAGACUCGCUGCUGCUGGAGGUCCCUCUCAACGCGCGGCACCCUGAAGCAGAGCUUCUUCUCUGCUGCCCCCCACCAUCUCAGCUCAGCUCUGUGACCGUAACCGCAGCCUCUCCUCCGAGCAACCAUAGUCCCGGUUCCGCUAGCGAUCAGCUUAGGAACAGGCAUCAGUGGUAG